rnacentral:ncRNA from 1 species
AGGUGCCUGUGCCAUUGCUGCACGGGAGAAUAGGGAAGCGGGCGAGAUGCCCCACAGCCACCACUACUGUAAGCGCAGGAUUUCCGGCUUUCACUGCCUGACGGCGGGAAGAAAGUCAUAGAGGAAGCGCAUUAGUCAGGAGACCUGCCUAUU